AUUAGAGUUUGAUCCUGGCUCAGGAUGAACGCUGGCGGCGCGCCUAACACAUGCAAGUCGAGCGAGCAGUCACUGUCCUUCGGGGUGGUGGCGGGCGAGCGGCGAACGGGUGAGUAACACGUGGGUAACCUGCCCCAGAGACGGGGAUAACCACUGGAAACGGUGGCUAAUACCCGAUGGCCUCAUCUACUCUGCGGGGUGGAUGAGGAAAGGGGCGGCAGUCGAAAGGCUGUCGUACCGCUCUGGGAGGGGCCCGCGGCCUAUCAGCUUGUUGGUGGGGUAACGGCCUACCAAGGCGACGACGGGUAGCUGGCCUGAGAGGGUGGUCAGCCACACGGGGACUGAGACACGGCCCCGACUCCUACGGGAGGCAGCAGUGAGGAAUCUUGCACAAUGGGCGCAAGCCUGAUGCAGCGACGCCGCGUGGAGGAAGAAGCCCUUCGGGGUGUAAACUCCUUUUCUGGGGGAAGAGGGAGGACGGUACCCCAGGAAUAAGCCACGGCUAACUCCGUGCCAGCAGCCGCGGUAAUACGGAGGUGGCGAGCGUUAUCCGGAUUUACUGGGCGUAAAGCGUCUGUAGGCGGUCGUGCAAGUCGGUGGUGAAAUCUCCCGGCUCAACUGGGAGGGGUCCAUCGAAACUGCACGACUCGAGGGCCGGAGAGGGGCAUGGAAUUCCCGGUGUAGCGGUGAAAUGCGCAGAUAUCGGGAGGAACACCAGAGGCGAAGGCGGUGCCCUGGCCGGAACCUGACGCUGAGAGACGAAAGCGUGGGGAGCGAUCGGGAUUAGAUACCCCGGUAGUCCACGCCGUAAACGAUGGGUGCUCGGUGUUGGUCCCGUACAGGGGUCAGUGCCCAAGCUAACGCGAUAAGCACCCCGCCUGGGGACUACGGCCGCAAGGCUAAAACUCAAAGGAAUUGACGGGGACCCGCACAAGCAGCGGAGCGUGUGGUUUAAUUCGAUGCAACGCGAAGAACCUUACCCGGGCUUGACAUGCAGGUGGUAGGGAGCCGAAAGGUGACCGACCCUUCGGGGAGCCUGCACAGGUGCUGCAUGGCUGUCGUCAGCUCGUGCCGUGAGGUGUUGGGUUAAGUCCCGCAACGAGCGCAACCCCUGCCGUGUGUUUCAUGUGUCACACGGGACUGCCGGUGAUAAACCGGAGGAAGGUGGGGACGACGUCAAGUCAGCAUGGCCUUUAUGUCCGGGGCGACACACACGCUACAAUGGCCGGUACAGAGGGUAGCCACGCCGCGAGGCGGAGCGAAUCCCAAAAGCCGGUCUCAGUUCGGAUCGCAGUCUGCAACUCGACUGCGUGAAGGCGGAGUUGCUAGUAACCGCGUAUCAGCCAUGGCGCGGUGAAUACGUUCCCGGGUCUUGUACACACCGCCCGUCACGUCAUGGGAGUCGGCAACACCUGAAGUCGGUAGCCUAACCCGCAAGGGAGGGCGCCGCCGAGGGUGGGGCCGGCGACUGGGACGAAGUCGUAACAAGGUAACCAA
rnacentral:rRNA from 1 species